CAGUAGCCCUGCGCCGCUCCCGGCUCCCGUCCUGAAACCGCGGCACACAAAACUGGGAGAAAACCAACCCAGAAUGCGUACACUGCUCCUCCGGCCGCGAUGAGCGACGGCACUUCAGGCUCCCGGCACGGCCCCACCUCCGAGGUUCCACUCUGUGGUUCUUUUGUGCCUCCUCUGCUGAGGGAUGCAGCAAAAGCACCUGAGUAGCAGCUUCUGAUGAGACAUGAUGAAACAUGAGCAUCUGCAGUAGCCACCAUGGUCAGGGGGAAAUAUUCAAUUAGGAAACCCCUAUGGAGCAGAGGGGGAACUCAGCAGGUGAGGAGUCAAAAUCUCUGCAAUCAGCACUGAUAAAAGGCUGUUAUUUUGACAAAUGGGAUAAAAAUAA